rnacentral:misc_RNA from 1 species
GAUGAAGAACGCAGCGAAAUGCGAUACGUAAUGUGAAUUGCAGAAUUCAGUGAAUCAUCGAAUCUUUGAACGCAUAUUGCGCUCUCUGGUAUUCCGGAGAGCAUGCUUGUUUGAGUAUCAGUAAACACCUCAACUCCCUUUUCUUUUUUGAAAUUGGAGCUGGACUUGAGUGAUCCCAACGCUUUCUUCCAAGAAAGUGGCGGGUCGCUUGAAAUGCAGGUGCAGCUGAACUUUUCUCUGAGCUAUAAGCAUAUCUAUUUAGUCUGCCUAAAAAACAGAUUAUUACCUUUGCUGCAGCUAACAUAAAGGAGACUAGUUCUUGUGCUGACUGAUGCAGGAUUCACAGAGACAGCUUCGGCUGACUUUGUAAACUCGAUCUCAAAUCAAGUAAGACUACCCGCUGAACUUAAGCAUAUCAAUAAGCGGAGGA